rnacentral:lncRNA from 1 species
UUGUUUUUUGCUUUUAUUCCAAUUUUCAAUUAGAAGAACAUGUACGUAUUUGAUUCUUUUUUAUGUUAAUUUUGGCUCAUGUAUAUUAAAUCGUAUGGCCUCAUUUUAAUUCAUAUCAUUGACAAUUGUUAUGGGUUGUCACUGAUAUUAGUCAUGGAAUAACAUAAGUCAAUAUAUCCAAACCCUGCCCUACAAAAAUUAGGAGUGGAGGUUUGAACCGCCCGUAUCACGGUUAUGGGAUGUGGUCUAUUUUUUUCAUCUCCCCUACAAAAAUUAGGUGUGGAGGUUUGAACCGCCCGUAUCACGGUUAUGGGAUGUGGUCUUCUUUUCUCAUAUUUCGAAUUUGAUUGUCCGCAACCUCCUCGGUCUUCAGAGUAGACAUCGUUGUCGAAAGGGUCGAUGUUUGAAAAGAUGAGUUUGGAGCUGAUGGUGUCGCUGUCGUCGCUGUCCAAGCUCCCGGGAUGACAGCAGCCAUCGACGGUUUAGGGUUGGUGGGGCCCGAAUCCGGCGUCGACUGCUUCCCGACGAACAGGCUGUGAUGAUGAACGUGACAUGAUGAAAAUGACGGCGAAAGAUUUCUACGUUGAGGAAGAAAUAAAACCCUGACAGAAGGGACGAGGAACAAAACCUUAAUGGGAGAGUGAGGAACGAGCAUUCACGCCUUCCUUUUACCUUAUCUUAUUUAGUCACUGAUUAAUGUAACAACUAUAAUCACGUUUGUUUUACCUUUCGGUACAAGUGAAUUAGUUGUAUUUGGCCACAGAUGAUGUUGAUGAAGGGGGAAUUGCAGCAAGCUGACGGAUGUUCAUCGGUGAAAUGUCAUUAAG